GGAGGAAUAGUCUAACUGGUAAGGCAGCGGUCUUGAAAACCGCCGGGCUUGCGCCCUUGGGGGUUCGAGUCCCCCUUCCUCCG
rnacentral:tRNA from 1 species